rnacentral:rRNA from 1 species
CAGAGGAGCCAAGCGUUGUCCGGAGUAACUGGGCGUAAAGCGCACGCAGGUGGUUUGGCACGUGGGGUGUGAAAGCUCUCGGCUUAACUGAGAGAGGCCACCUCAUACGGCCAAGCUCGAGCCCUGCAGAGGUCCACGGAAUUGCCGGUGUAGUGGUGAAAUGCGUAGAGAUCGGCAGGAACACCCAGGGGGAAACCAGUGGACUGGGCAGGCGCUGACACUGAGGUGCGAAAGCGUGGGGAGCGAACCGGAUCAGAUACCCGGGUAGUCCACGCCGUAAACGAUGAAUACUCGGCAUUUGGUGUGCGUACUUCGCACGCCGGGUGCCCCAGCUAACGCGGUAAGUAUUCCGCCUGGGAACUACAAGCGCAAGCUUA